rnacentral:rRNA from 1 species
CCUACGGGUGGCUGCAGUCGAGAAUCAUUCACAAUGGGGGAAACCCUGAUGGUGCGACGCCGCGUGGGGGAAUGAAGGUCUUCGGAUUGUAAACCCCUGUCAUGGGGGAGCAAAUUAAAAAGAUAGUACCACAAGAGGAAGAGACGGCUAACACUGUGCCAGCAGCCGCGGUAAUACAGAGGUCUCAAGCGUUGUUCGGAAUCACUGGGCGUAAAGCGUGCGUAGGCGGUUUCGUAAGUCGUGUGUGAAAGGCGCGGGCUCAACCCGCGGACGGCACAUGAUACUGCGAGACUAGAGUAAGGGAGAGGGACCCGGAAUUCUCGGUGUAGCGGUGAAAUGCGUAGAUAUCACGAGGAACACUGGUGGCGAAGGCGGGUUCCUGGACAUUAACUGACGCUGAGGCACGAAGGCCAGGGGAGCGAAAGGGAUUAGAUACCCUAGUAGUC